rnacentral:sRNA from 2 species
AUUCAAUUUCCGCUUAAUCUUGUUAUUGAGAACGGGGGAACCAACUUUGCGGUGUAUUCCGCUUGGGGUGAAUUCUGACUUCAGAAAGGGCUAAUGUGUGUUUCCGGGCCCUAACCCGACAGCUAACCUCGUCAGCGUCUUAAAGGGAACAG